UACGUAGGUGGCGAGCGUUGUCCGGAUUUACUGGGCGUAAAGAGCGCGCAGGCGGUCGGAUCAGUCGAAUGUGAAAGCCCCCGGCUUAACUGGGGAGGGUCAUUCGAUACUGUUCGACUCGAAGGCAGGAGAGGGAAGUGGAAUUCCCGGUGUAGUGGUGAAAUGCGUAGAUAUCGGGAGGAACACCAGUGGCGAAGGCGACUUUCUGGCCUGUUAUUGACGCUGAGGCGCGAAAGCUAGGGGAGCAAACGGG
rnacentral:rRNA from 1 species